rnacentral:rRNA from 1 species
CUGCUGCCUUCCGUAGGAGUCUGGUCCGUGUCUCAGUACCAGUGUGGGGGACCUUCCUCUCAGAACCCCUACGCAUCGUCGGUUAGGUGGGCCGUUACCCCGCCUACUGCCUAAUGCGCCGCAUGCCCAUCCCUGUCCGGCCGAAGCCUUUUCCUGCCUCCGGGAUGCCCCGGUGGCAUGUACGCGGGUUUAGCCCGCCUUUCGGCGGGUUGUCCCCCUGACAGGGGCAGGUUGCAUACGUGUUACUCACCCGUGCGCCGGUCGCCGGCGGAGAAA